rnacentral:rRNA from 1 species
ACACAUUUUAGAGCUUAAAUCAUAAAAUUUAUUUAAAUUUUAUUACUAUCAAAUCCACUUUAACUAAUUAUUUAAAUAAACAAUACCAUAAUAAAUAAAUUUAUUGUAACCCAUUUCUUCUUAAAUAUAAACUGCACCUUGAUCUGAUUUACUUUUUUAUAUAAAAUCUUAAUUAUUUAAAUUCUUAUAAAAUAAUUAAUAACGACGAUAUACAAACUAAUAAUUUAAGUACAUUUUAUCGUGGAAUAUCAAUUAUAGAACAGGUUCCUCUGAAUAGACUAAAAUACCGCCAAAAUUUUUAAAUUUGAAGAUCAUAACUAUUACUACUUUAACUUAACUAAUUACAUUUAAA